rnacentral:rRNA from 1 species
CAGUAGCCGCGGUAAUACGUAGGGUGCAAGCGUUAAUCGGAAUUACUGGGCGUAAGGCGUGCGCAAGCGGUUAUAUAAGUCAGAUGUGAAAUCCCCGGGCUCAACCUGGGAACUGCAUUCGAGACUGUAUGGCUAGAGUGUGUCAGAGGGGGGUAGAAUUCCACGUGUAGCAGUGAAAUGCGUAGAUAUGUGGAGGAAUACCGAUGGCGAAGGCAGCCCCCUGGGAUAACACUGACGCUCAUGCACGAAAGCGUGGGGAGCAAACAGGAUUAGAUACCCCGGUAGUCCCUGUCUCUUAUAC